CCUACGGGAGGCAGCAGUGGGGAAUAUUGGGCAAUGGGCGCAAGCCUGACGCAGCAACGCCGCGUGAAGGAAGAAGGCUUUCGGGUUGUAAACUUCUUUUAAGGGGGACGAACAAAUGACGGUACCCCUUGAAUAAGCCACGGCUAACUACGUGCCAGCAGACGCGGUAAUACGGAGGUGGCAAGCGUUAUCCGGAAUUAUUGGGUGUAAAGGGCGGGUAGGCGGGAGCGCAAGUCAGAUGUGAAAACUCAGGGCUCAACCCUGGGCCUGCAUUUGAAACUGGGUUUCUUGAGUGCUGGAGAGGCAAUCGGAAUUCCGUGUGUAGCGGUGAAAUGCGUAGAUAUACGGAGGAACACCAGUGGCGAAGGCGGAUUGCUGGACAGUAACUGACGCUGAGGCGCGAAAGCGUGGGGAGCAAACAGGAUUAGAUACCCCGGUAGUC
rnacentral:rRNA from 1 species